AAAAGAUUGUGUUGUAUAUUGAGGAGUGAAGACUAGUAGUGUGUCUACUUGCGUAUGGUUUGUUAAUGUGAAAGAACAAUCUAUAGGUGAUUUGGGUGGUAGUUGUACACAAAGGAGUGGAGAUGGGAGAUGAAACUAGAUAUGGUUCAACUAGGUAUGUCUAUAAGCGUGAGGCAAAAUGGUUUUUUAGUGUUGUGAAGGAUGGCACCAAAGGAGAAGGAAUUAAUUGUAAAGCUGUGAGAGGUCUGAUCAUAAAGUAUUGAGAGAAGGGGAGUAGACCAAAAUGAAGGCAAGAGACAAUCUCUCAUUUUGGAAACGACAGCAAAGGGGGAAAGAUGAAGCCUAUGGGAGUU
rnacentral:misc_RNA from 1 species